GGUGGUAGAUAAGUGGAACAGUCUUCAAGCAUAAGUGGUAGAGGGUAAUACAGCGAGGGUAUUAAACAUGCAUGGGAUAGACAUACGGCUCCUGAAUCUAAGACGAGACCAACGACUGAUUAAGGUUUCAGUCUUUACAGCGGGAAAAACAGGCUGGGGGCCGAAUGGGCCUCACUCUCUGGCCAAGAAGAAAUAUGUCUGCCAGCCACAAAAUGCAACCUGUUAAAAUUAAGAUAUUUGUAACUAAAAACUGGAAGGGGACAUCACCGGCGGCAGGCUGUCUCUGUGAAAAACACUCCGCGGAGAUGCUUUGGUUUUACCCGUGUAGGUCGAUGGUCCAUUAGGCCUGUUUAAGAUGAAUUAUUUGAUAAAAGCUAUUUUGAUACAUUGUGUUGCUGAUUAAUAAAGAUACAAAAUAUUCAGUUAAAAUAAUAAAGAAAUUUUUUUAUUAUACAA